GGCGGUCAUCUAGCAGUGUACGCUGCCAGCGUAUUUUUUAUUGCCAGAGGUAGCAAACAGCAGUGCCACGACAAACAGUGGAGUGCUGACGAUGCAGUCCAGAAGGUGGCUGAGGCAAGUAUGCUAUAGGAGGUGCUUAUUCAGGCAGAAGAAAUAAGCAUCUGUAGCCAACGUAAAGGAAGCAUCUUCAAAAACCAGUGCUACAAGGAUGUGAGCAGCAGUUUCCCUUCAACGAACGGGUCAAAUUCAUGGAAGCCACGUGCCUGCUGCUUCUGGCUUACACAAACAUGCAGCCACCAUAGUAAAGUUCUUGCAAAGACAUUCUACUCAAACUUGCCCAAAGGCGGAAGGAAGGCACGCACAGAUGGACGCACAGAAAUCAUGGGGCUGCCGUAGAAG